rnacentral:sRNA from 1 species
CUGACAGCUUUAGACACUGAAGUUUUCAUUCUCUCCUGACUCCAACAAAAUAGGCUAACCAUUGGCAACAGCACAUUCUUAGCCAAUGUGAUUCAAUCCUGACUUGAAGGGACCACUUUUAGGGCUGAGAGAAUAAUUCAACUGCCAGACUCUUUCAGCCAGGAUCUCUC